rnacentral:rRNA from 1 species
UACGUAGGGUGCAAGCGUUAAUCGGAAUUACUGGGCGUAAAGCGUGCGCAGGCGGUUGUGCAAGACAGAUGUGAAAUCACCGGGCUUAACCUGGGAACUGCAUUUGUGACUGCACGGCUAGAGUGUGUCAGAGGGGGGUAGAAUUCCACGUGUAGCAGUGAAAUGCGUAGAUAUGUGGAGGAACACCGAUGGCGAAGGCAGCCCCCUGGGAUAACACUGACGCUCAUGCACGAAAGCGUGGGGAGCAAACAGG